rnacentral:misc_RNA from 1 species
ACCAUGGGAGUGAAUUGUACCAGAAGCGGGUAGGCUAACCUUCGGGAAGCCGCUCACCACGGUAUGAGCCAUGACUGGGGUGAAGUCGUAACAAGGUAGCCGUAGGGGAACCUGCGGCUGGAUCACCUCCUUACUUUUAGUGAUCCAAACUUGUACCGGUAUCCACACAAACUGCUUUCAACGCUAGAAGACAGAGGACAGAAUCACGGUUAAAAGGGGUCUGUAGCUCAGUUGGUUAGAGCGCACCCCUGAUAAGGGUGAGGCCGGAAGUUCAAAUCUUCCCAGACCCACCACUUAACAAUUAAUCUAUCCUCUAUCUUCUGCCCUCUGUCCUCUGGUAGGGGGCCAUAGCUCAGUUGGGAGAGCAUCUGCCUUGCAAGCAGAGGGUCGGCGGUUCGACUCCGCCUGGCUCCACCAAUCUUUAAGAUUAACCGCUUCCAAAACUUAUAUUUUCUGGCAUCAACAAACCUGUGUUAAUUCCUUGACACACGUUUGUUGAUGCGUGAAACUUGCACGCUGCUCUUUAACAAUUUGGUGAAAAGUAAAGGCGCCAUUUAGGUAUUCUAUGUCGUUAUUGACAUUGGUAACCCUGGAAUCAUUUAGGGUUGCAUGGUCAAGUGAAUAAGCGCAUAUGGUGGAUGCCUUGGCAGUAAGAGGCGACGAAGGACGUAGUAGCCUGCGAUAAGCUUCGGGGAGCUGGCAAACAAGCAAUGAUCCGGAGA